rnacentral:Y_RNA from 1 species
AGCUGGUCUGAGUGCAGUGGUGUUUACAACUAAUUGAUCACAACCAGUUACAGAUUUCUUUGUUCCUUUUCUCAUUCCCACUGCUUCACUUCACUAGCCUAAA